UACAGAGGGUGCGAGCGUUAAUCGGAAUUACUGGGCGUAAAGCGUGCGUAGAUGGUUAUGUAAGUCGGAUGUGAAAGCCCCGGGCUCAACCUGGGAAUUGCAUUCGAGACUGCAUAGCUAGGAUGCGGAAGAGGGAAGCGGAAUUUCCGGUGUAGCGGUGAAAUGCGUAGAUAUCGGAAGGAACACCAGUGGCGAAAGCGGCUUCCUGGUCCAGCAUCGACGUCAGGCACGAAAGCGUGGGGAGCAAACAGG
rnacentral:rRNA from 1 species